AGUGAACGCUGGCGGUAGGCCUAACACAUGCAAGUCGAACGGCAGCACAGUAAGAGCUUGCUCUUACGGGUGGCGAGUGGCGGACGGGUGAGGAAUACAUCGGAAUCUACUUUUUCGUGAGGGAUAACGUAGGGAAACUUACGCUAAUACCGCAUACGACCUACGGGUGAAAGCAGGGGAUCUUCGGACCUUGCGCGAUUGAAUGAGCCGAUGUCGGAUUAGCUAGUUGGCGGGGUAAAGGCCCACCAAGGCGACGAUCCGUAGCUGGUCUGAGAGGAUGAUCAGCCACACUGGAACUGAGACACGGUCCAGACUCCUACGGGAGGAGCAGUGGGGAAUAUUGGACAAUGGGCGCAAGCCUGAUCCAGCCAUACCGCGUGGGUGAAGAAGGCCUUCGGGUUGUAAAGCCCUUUUGUUGGGAAAGAAAAGCAGCAGGUUAAUACCCCGCUGUUCUGACGGUACCCAAAGAAUAAGCACCGGCUAACUUCGUG
rnacentral:rRNA from 1 species